GAUGGAUUCAAAUCAAUCCAUUAACAAAUUUUUUGUUUGGUUGAUGGAUUAGAUGAAUUUUCUA
rnacentral:pre_miRNA from 1 species